AUAAUUAAGCGGAGGAAAAGAAACCAACGGGGAUUCCCCCAGUAACGGCGAGUGAAGCGGGAACAGCCCAGCGCCGAAUCCGCCGCGGCGAAAGCCCGGCCGGAACUGUGGCGUGAGGGACUUGGCAAGUCGGCAGGGCGGGCGCCCGAGUCCCCCCGAGAGGGGCCCAUCCCAGAGCGGGUGCCAGGCCUCUACUGGCGUCCACCCGGCCGGCCGCCGACGUCCCCGGAGUAGGGUUGCUUGGGAAUGCAGCCCGAAGCGGGUGGUAAACUCCACCUAAGGCUAAAUACUGGCGCGAGGCCGAUAGCGGACAAGUACCGCGAGGGAAAGUUGAAAAGAACUUUGAAGAGAGGGUUCAAGAGCACGUGAAACCGCUCAGGGGUAAACGGGCGGAACCGAAGCGAACUGCCCGCGAGGGUCAGUCUUCGUCCGGCGGCGCGUCCUGCCGCGGCACGUUCGUUAGCCGAGGACUUCGGUCCGAGGCGCGGGCGGCCGUAGGUCGGGGCGUCGUUGUCGGGCGCGGGCGCACCCCUCGCGGGCAUCGGCCGCGACCGGCUUCGGGCCGGCCCGUUGAGGACGUCGGACCUGAUGGGCUGCGGCCCUGACGCGAGGCGUUCCUCUCCGGCGAGCCCGGCCCGAGGCCGAGGAAUGACCGCGGGAUCGGGGCGGUCGCGGCGUCGCGCUCCCCUCAAAAGGUGUGCGGCCCGCGGCAGCCAUCCCGCUCAGGGUCGGCGGCGAACGCGGACGGCUGUCCUCCCGACCCGUCUUGAAACACGGACCAAGGAGUCCGGCGCGCGCGCGAGUCGCGGGGUAGCACGAAACCCGCGGGCGCAGUGAAAGCGAGGGUCGCGUCGGUCGGCCUCGGCGGGAUCCCGUGGGCGGUUAGUAGUUCUCUGCUGGCCGCCDUCGGCGCACCGCCGGCCCGUCCCCCACCGCGUCGACGGCGGGGCGGAGCGAGAGCGCGCGUGCCGGGACCCGAAAGAUGGUGAACUACGCCUAGGCAGGGCGAAGCGGGGGAAACCCCGGUGGAGGCCCGCAGCGACUC
rnacentral:rRNA from 1 species